GCCGUGAGAUGUCUCCAAAGAGUCAUAGCGGUUUUUUUCUGGUCACUGCUGAAUUUUCAACGUUGAACAUUUUGGCGACCUAUCACAGGUGCCAGCGGUCGCCUGUGAAGGUCGCGUAGGUGGGACAGACCCUUUAGGGCUUCAAAGCGCCAGAGACCCGGGUUUGAUCCUGAC